CUCCGGCGGGUAGCGCCGCGCGCUCUGAGUCUGCGCGGCCAUCCUGGGAAGCGGUCUGUGUGGUUCAACUGGUGGCUCUCGGCCGGUAGCUUCCUAUCGUUUGAGCCGGGGUUCACAAGGAUGUUGGAGCGGACCAACUUGGAGUCGUAUCUAUUUAUACUUGUCAGGAAACUGGCCAAGAAUCUUGCAUCUUGAACCGCAGACUCCUGAAUCCUACCUAGCGUGUGAAGAAAAAUGUCGCCCCGUGGUGAUGUGAAGAAAGAUGAAAUCACCAGGAAAUAAGAGAUUGGCCUCCGCCGGCUGGAACGUUCCUGGAAACCCGCCCCAGACGGCGGAGGUGACUGCAGCGGUGAACUACGAACGAAGUCCCUGUCGUAAUGAAGUUGACGUGCUUAUGGAGGAGAUUGAAACGAUAGUUAAAGAAAGUGCAGCUUUUAAUAGGACCUGUUUUUUAAAAAAAUUGGUCUGAGGUGGAGUUACUAAAGCUACACGCCUGAGUAGAAGUCUCUGCUUCGAAGGGAAUUGUUAUAGUUGGAGUCAUGUACAUUAUUACAGUUUGCCUUUUCCAGAAAGUCAGAGUUGGAACCACAUGGCAUGCAGCAUUUUGAGAAUGGCCUCUUUCACUUAGUGACGCACACUUCCAUCGUGGCACUUCACACCUUGAUAACAUUUCUUUUGGGAACCGAAUAAUAUUUCAUUGCCUGGGUAUGCUAUAGUUUCCUUAUCCAUUUACCUGCUUUAUUUUGAUUCUGAGAAGUACUUCCCCAGCGUGCGUGCAUGUGCCCAAGAGAACCUAAGCCUCCUUUUCUAAGACGCCCUUCUGUUCCCUCUAGGGUUUCUGAAGAAUGUGCCCUUCCCAGUGCUUACUCAGCGCAGCACUGCUAACUGCUGUAUCUGCUACUCCUCAGCCGGCCGUGCUGCCUGGGCCCUAAGAGAUGCCCUAUUUACUAAAUGCCUGCAUCGGAGAAAUAAGAUCUAGCUAGCUGGUGCCAAGUGCAGAGCCUGGGUGUUGGCUUCUAGUUUACUACAAUGCACUGAAAGUCACUAUUUAAAAAAACACACACACAAACACAUUGAAAGAUACUUGUUAUGUAUAUUUGUCACCAAGGCAUCACAAAAAAGUCACAAAAAAGGCUUAGUUUAGCUCAUACUAUAGAUCCUGUGAAAACACAUUUUUCAUCUUCUCUGCAGUUUACAAUACUCAUAUAAAUUGAAAGCAGUCAAACAGCAUUGGAGACCACAUUAAUAAAAAACUUGUAAUUCGAUCCGGACUUCAGAAACUGGUGAGAUAAAAGGCCACGACAGACAAAUGCUAAGAAAUUUGUGGACUCGCCAAACUGUCACAGUAUUAUUUUCCUUUAUAAAAGCAUCUCAGUAGGACAAUAAAAAUGAUGAACAACACAAAAGUCAAAUUGGAGAUUUUGGUUUAGUACUUUCCCUGAGUCUUUCUCUUUUUUUUUAAUGACGUGUAAGUGAACCCAGUUCAAAAUCGACUCACAGGUCUAGCCUCCUUCACUUGACAUGGGGAAUAAAUUUAAAACAAGAAGCUUCACACACCGAAAUGGUCCCAGGGCGUUAUUAAAUACCAAAGUGCCUGUGUCGUUGCCACAGGGUUGUCGACGC